rnacentral:rRNA from 1 species
UACGUAGGUGGCAAGCGUUGUCCGGAUUUAUUGGGUUUAAAGGGUGCGUAGGCGGUUCCAUAAGUCAGUGGUGAAAUACAAUAGCUUAACUAUUGAGGUGCCAUUGAUACUGCGGAACUUGAGUACAGACGAGGUAGGCGGAAUUGACGGUGUAGCGGUGAAAUGCUUAGAUAUCGUCAAGAACACCGAAAGCGAAGGCAGCUUACUAGACUGUAACUGACGCUGAGGCACGAAAGUGUGGGGAUCAAACAGG